rnacentral:rRNA from 1 species
UUGUUGCAGUUAAAAAGCUCGUAGUUGGAUAUCUGGCCUUUGCGUUGACGACCCGCCCUCUUUUGGGAUGUGUGUUGGAGACGUGGGUCUAUCUUCCGGUUGGUGGCUGUUCCGCUUUAUUGGGGCGCAGUUCGCGAUCCGGAUCGUUUACUUUGAAAAAAUUCGAGUGUUCAUAGCAGGCUUACGCCGUGAAGAUCGCAGCAUGGAAUAAUAACAUAGGACUUGGUGUUCUAUUUGUUGGUUCUGGGACCUAAGUAAUGAUUGAUAGGGACAGUUGGGGGUGCUGCUAUAGACUGGCCAGAGGUGAAAUUCUAAGACUCAGUCUAGAGCAACUUAUGCGAAAGCAUUCACCAAGGAUGUCUUCUUUAAUCAAGAACGAAAGUUGGGGGAUCGAAGACGAUCAGAUACCGUCGUAGUCUCAACCAUAAACUAUGCCGACUAGGGAUUGGGGGACGUUGAAUUAUCCGACUUCCUCAGCACCUUAUGAGAAAUCAAAGUCUUUGGGUUCCGGGGGGAGUAUGGUCGCAAGGCUGAAACUUAAAG